rfam:Ictidomys tridecemlineatus contig093584, whole genome shotgun sequence.
GGAGUUGUGGCUCAGUAGUAGAGCAUUUACCUGGCAUGUGUGUGGUACUGGGUUCGAUUCUCAGCACCA